UCGGCGCCGCAUCCCCGCCACGCCCGGGCCACGCCCGGGCCGCGCCCCCACCGCCCCCUGAUCGGGGCCCGCCUCCCGACGGACGCUUCCCCCCUGGCGGCCGCCGUGGGGCACCGCGCGCCGCUCCGAGGAGGAGCCGCCACCCAGCGGGACGGGACCCGCCGCCCCGCUCCGCCGCUGCACUCACCGGGGCCGGCCCGGCAGCCGCGCUCUGCUCUGCUCUGCCCCUCCCCGCCGCGCCGCGCCGCCGAUGGCCGCUCCGCCACGGACAGGAUGUGGCGUGCGUGGGGUCAUCUUCAGAUGCCUUUCAACAAACGUACAGAAGAGGUUUCAGCAGAGGCCAAUGGCAGCUCCUUUCCAAGCUCUGCUGGCUCCUUCCACCCUUGUGAUGGAUGUGGUAGAACAGACCAUGCGCCAUCCCCUCCAGACCCACGCUCCAUCCACCUAGCUUAAACCUAUUCUUGGCAGAAAUGGCGACGGCUUGCCUGGGCUAUGUACUGAAGCACCAUUUUCUUCUUCAAAUUUUUGUGUGGACAUCCCUCCAGGAAAGGCAGACAGCAACGUGACCGCGUUUACCUGCUCUGUGAACACGUUAGUGUCCCACAUGCUCAUACCCUAGGAAGGCAAGAUCUAAAAGAGCAGUUGUUGGGAAGAAGCCUGUCUGUGUGACACAAGGGGGACGUGUGUGUGUGGCUUUAGUACUCACAGUCCGCACAUGAGCAGCUCUGCACUAGCUCGAGCUUUCUCCUCUUGGCACAUCUGAAAGUUUCAUAAAUGAAUUACACUGUUGGAACAUUGUACCAAAGUUUAACUUAAUGUAAUUUAAAUAUUACAGAUUUGCCAAUUACAUAGUUUGAUGUGGGCUGAUUGAGUUAUAAGGUUCAUAAUGUUCCUAUUACUCUGCAUUUAAAACACAUUAUUCAUAAUUUGGUGAAAUUUCAAAGGACUAAAUAGCCAGUAGAUGGCACCAAUAAAUCCUGUUGUGAGACUUAAAA